rnacentral:sRNA from 1 species
ACACAGGGAAGGAGGUGGUCCGACAAAUUGAUUGAUUUAUGGACAUGUGAGGUGGCUGCCCGCUAGCAGCGCCAGGGUGAAUUGCCUGCGCGCGCUGGCGAAUUCCCCGCAGCCACCCGGCCCCCGAGCCCCUCGGUCAGUCCAACCAAGGAACCAAGGCUCGGGGGCCGCUUCAU